rnacentral:circRNA from 1 species
UCACAGCAAACUGUACAAUGGCAGUUGAGUGGGUUUUGAAAAACGUCUGAAUUGUAGUGUCUACAUCUACCUUCUGCCUUCUCUCUACCCUUUGAAAAAAAAUAAAUGGCAUGUUUGAGAAGAGAGCUCUAUUAAAAGAGGAAUAUUGCAAAUGGCUUCAGAUUCUAUGAGUAGUAAACAAGCUAGGAAUCACAUUACAAAGGGGAAAAGGCAACAACAGCACCAGCAAAUAAAGAACAGAUCCUCAAUUAGUGAUGGUGAUGGAGAAGAUUCCUUUAUUUUUGAAGCAAAUGAAGCUUGGAAAGAUUUUCAUGGUUCUCUUCUUCGAUUUUAUGAAAAUGGAGAACUCUGUGAUGUCACACUCAAGGUUGGCUCAAAGCUAAUCUCUUGUCACAAGCUGGUAUUGGCUUGUGUUAUUCCCUACUUUAGAGCCAUGUUUCUUUCUGAAAUGGCUGAAGCCAAGCAAACGCUGAUUGAGAUUAGAGAUUUUGAUGGUGAUGCAAUAGAAGACUUGGUAAAGUUUGUCUAUUCUUCACGGCUCACUUUGACUGUUGACAAUGUCCAGCCUCUCUUAUAUGCAGCCUGUAUUCUGCAGGUUGAACUGGUGGCUAGAGCUUGUUGUGAAUACAUGAAGUUACAUUUUCAUCCCUCCAAUUGCCUGGCAGUAAGAGCCUUUGCAGAAAGUCACAAUCGAAUAGACUUAAUGGACAUGGCGGAUCAGUAUGCCUGUGACCAUUUUACUGAAGUAGUGGAGUGUGAAGACUUUGUAAGUGUAUCACCGCAGCACCUCCAUAAGCUUUUGUCCUCCAGUGAUCUAAAUAUUGAAAAUGAAAAGCAGGUCUAUAAUGCUGCCAUCAAGUGGCUUCUUGCCAAUCCUCAGCAUCAUUCCAAAUGGUUGGAUGAAACACUUGCACAGGUUCGCCUGCCAUUGUUGCCGGUUGAUUUUCUUAUGGGUGUUGUGGCAAAAGAACAGAUUGUCAAGCAAAAUCUAAAAUGUAGAGAUUUACUGGAUGAAGCAAGAAAUUACCACCUUCACUUGAGUAGCAGAGCAGUACCUGACUUUGAAUACUCCAUUCGGACUACCCCAAGGAAGCAUACUGCUGGUGUGCUGUUUUGUGUAGGUGGUCGAGGUGGAUCUGGUGACCCCUUUCGCAGUAUUGAAUGCUAUUCUAUCAACAAAAACAGUUGGUUCUUUGGACCAGAAAUGAAUAGUCGAAGGCGACAUGUGGGUGUAAUCUCUGUGGAAGGUAAAGUGUAUGCAGUAGGUGGACAUGAUGGAAAUGAACAUUUAGGGAGUAUGGAGAUGUUUGAUCCUCUCACUAAUAAAUGGAUGAUGAAGGCAUCAAUGAACACAAAGAGGCGAGGAAUUGCCUUGGCUUCCUUAGGAGGCCCAAUUUAUGCAAUUGGAGGGUUAGAUGACAAUACUUGCUUCAAUGAUGUGGAGAGAUAUGACAUAGAAUCUGAUCAGUGGAGUACAGUGGCACCAAUGAAUACUCCCCGUGGAGGAGUUGGCUCUGUUGCUCUAGUAAACCAUGUUUAUGCAGUAGGUGGCAAUGAUGGAAUGGCUUCUUUAUCUAGCGUGGAGAGAUAUGAUCCACAUCUGGAUAAGUGGAUAGAAGUUAAAGAAAUGGGUCAGCGAAGAGCAGGCAAUGGAGUUAGCAAGCUUCAUGGUUGCUUAUACGUAGUUG